ensembl:snRNA U6 U6 spliceosomal RNA
GUCCUAGCGCUCGCUUCAGCUGGACAUACACUAAAUCAGAACGUUACAGAUAAGCAUGGCCUCUCCGCAGGGAUGACACGCACAUUCACGAAGUGUUUCAUAUUCCA